UCUCUCUCUAAUAACCUCUAGGAUCGAAAUAACAAAAAAGCGACUGUCUUCAGGAGCAAAAUGAUGCUUUAUUUUCAUGCCAGUUAUGAUCUAAUAUAAAUAUGAACUUUUUCUCAUCUUUCCUCGGGGUGGGUAAAGUAAUCCAGUCUCUAAGUAUAUUUGCAAAACCUGUUCACAGUUGAUUCCAAAACAAGACAUGACAUGCAAACUUGGGUUACACUGCUCAGAUGCUCCAAGAGGUGUUCGCUCCCUUACACACCUCACCUCACCUCACCUCACCACACAAACAAGUCACACUAAAUAUAUAUAUAAGGUUUCUAAUACAUAUCAAUGUGAAAAAUAUAUGUCUAUUAUAUUUUGAAGGUAGUGGUCACUCUCGCUUCCUCUCUCUCGCUCUCUCUCACUUUAACGCAGUCUUUGCAAUCAUGUGGCGGAGAUUCAGCGUGACGGGACUGCCCCCUCGACUGUCUCCGUCCCACCCCACCCCGCCCCGCCAUGCCCUGCCCCAUGCCAGCCACACCAAGGGGGUCACAAGGCAUACACUAAAUUGAGGUCAGACCACCGUAGCCAUGACACAAAUGUAAGUCCACUGCAGACGCAACACGAAUGCAAAAUGUAAAAAUAAAUGCGAUUUGUUCUUCCGGAUUGUCCUUACUGCCCUAACGCGUUGCAUAUGAAGGAAGUACGAACAAGGAGACGCACAAUCUUGAACGAGCCAAUGACAGGGCUGCCCCGAGUCUGUCACGGCCGAGAUGCACUAAUCAGACACUAAUCAGAAAGUUUACACCUGAAUUUUGAGCAAAGUGACUCAAAAUAAAGCCCUUCGGAGAAACAGAUAAAACGCUACACACACACACUGAACCCUUUGUGCUGACUGGUGGAUAUUCACAGGUCCAAAUCAUCAAACUCUUCGGCUAUUUCGAAAGGCUGAAGCGGAAGUUGUAGGGUUCACUUUGGUGGUUUCAUGAGCCUGGUGUUAGUUUUGCAAGGGUUCACAGGUCCAUAUUCUUGAACUCUUUGAAGCUUCAGUAUAUACAUCAAUUUAAAAAGGCUCUUGUGGAAGGUGUCGGGGUUAACACUGGUGGUUUCAUGAGCCUGGCGCUAGUUUUGCAAGGCUUCACGAGUCCAUACUGUUUAACUCUUUGAAGCUUUAAUACAUACAUCUAUUUCAAAGGCUCUUGUGGAAGGUGUCAGGGUUUCCAUUGGUUUCUUGAGCCCUGGUGGUAGUUUUGCAAGGCUUCACGAGUCCAUACUGUUUAACUCUUUGAAGCUUUAAUACAUACAUCUAUUUCAAAGGCUCUUGUGGAAGGUGUCAGGGUUUCCAUUGGUUUCUUGAGCCCUGGUGGUAGUUUGCAAGGCUUCAGCGCCAUGAAUGGGAAAAACACUCAUAACAACCCGACGUAACUACUCUCUGGCCUUAAGAUAUAGUCGUAACAGGAACCUGAAGCGUUUUAUAAUACCAGUCACAGUCCCUACGCAAGACAGCCAAGAAAAAAUGGCCAGGUCACCUCACUACAGCACUAGCCCAAGGUAACAAGCUAGCGUCUCUAAACCUAACUCAAUUUCCACAUGCAGUGACGACUAAAAACAAAAACGUGAUUCAAAACAUUCAAGUGAUCGAUGAAUUCCAAAACACAAAACAACAGAUUCAAGUAUGCCGGACAAGUACCAGAAAGUGUUGCCGAGAUAACAAGUCGCUGUGUGGUGGUGACACUCCCGAAACGCAUGGCGAUGACCCUUACGGUACACUCACUCCCUCGGACAUGACAGCACCUCUCUCCCACACCCUCCCCAGCAGCUGAGCCAAGAAACAGAGGCUAACACAGCACACCAAACAAGGAAAACCCAGGGAUGAAAUGAAGGAGGAAAGUCGUGCAGUUAAAACAAAAUGUGGUGCCCCGAGCUGUCUCUUCACACCAUCACAGACUUUGCAGACACUUCAGGAAAUAAAAAGAGAACUUAGGAGGUCAUUGGUAUCAUCUUAUGGCAUGUGUCACUCUCUCACAAGUUUCAGCAGCAGUCAAAAAGUAUCUAAAUCAAUUGCUCUUGGCCAGUCGAUCAAUGUGCUGCAACAAGGCUUCGUUACAAUCAACUAUACACACUGUACCUUACUGGACAACACUUAACCGUCUCAGUCUUUCCACGUCAACAUCUAGAUAAUGUCACAAAGUUGCCAGUCUACGGUCAGCCAUAACCUUGCUCUUCCAAAACCAACAUUCACCACUCCUAACCUUUACUUGCCACUCCAUACUACCUCACUUCAUCCUGCACCAUGCCUCAUCACCCACCAAUCCAACACUUGACAUCCUUAGAACACCAGCCCUUACCACUCACCAACCUAACACAUGACAUCCUUAGAACACCAUCCUCAUCUUGCACCAGCCUUUACUCAUCUUGCAACAGCCUUUUCCACUCACCAACCCAACGCAUGACAUCCUUACAACACCAUCCUUCACCAGCCACCAACCCAUCACUUUACAUCCUUUCAAACCCAUUCACUCAUCAAGAGGACCAAAAAGUGCAUCUCAGUAGCAAUGGAAAUCAACUCACCACUUUCAGUCACCACACUGACCCACUCGACCUCCACACAAACUCACUCAAUCAACAAGAGCGGCAGAAAGUGCCUCUCCCUGUGACUAUGAAAAUCAACCAUACAAUCAAGCGUUUCAAGACACCAAAUUAACAGUAUAUACCUAACAGAUGCCUUCCACAGAGGUACCGGGACCCAGCAAUGACCACAGCUCUUCCCUUACUAGCACACAACUGAUACACAGCAAUCGGAGGAAUAUGUAGCACUAGAAUGGAAGUUACCAAGUUGCGCUAUGUACAUAAACGUCUGUAUACACUACUACUUCGUUUUUUUUUUUUUAUCACGUUAACGUCUGGCCGAGUCAUCAAUGUUGCGCCCUGUUUAAAAGUCUCCUUUGAUAAUAAUGCCAACACCCGGAACAACACUGCCACAGUCUAGUCACCCCAGAGUAACACUCGAUGAGGCCUCGUCAAUGAGGAUGCAUCACGUGCCGGUUAAAAUGUUAAAAACGAUCAACUUACGCACUUCAACACGCAGCAGCAGCAGUAGGAGUAAUAGUAAUGGUAGAGGUAACAACAGUAUGUACAAAGAAAAACAAACUCGGAGCAAAGAGAAAAUGAAUAUAAUAUUGCCAAACAGGAUGAAGAUAUGUACUGAACACAAGUGAUGACAAGGUUAGUGAUGAGCCUGGCAGCAUUCUGAAUGUGUAGCCAAUGGGCACACUGCUGGGCGUGCCACCCUAAAGGGGCUAAAGGAGGGAAGGAGCGGCCUGCUGCCUCUGUCUCUCACUGACGCAACAGUCUUAUAAACAUAGCACUGAUGGUUAUGGUUACUGGAGAAGCAAACAGUGACUUCAUAUAAUAGUUGCUAUUCUUACUACAGUAUUCCUUUUUCAUGAGAAACUGUACAAAGUGUAAUAUUUUCCUCAAUGAAUAUCACCUUUAAACAAUAAAUCACAUUCAUUUAUCAUCUACCCAUACCAAGUUAAGUGGCAUUCCCUCCCUUCCUUAAGAUCAAAUCAGACAAAAGCUCCAUCUAGUGAUACAAUUUUUAUACAUGAACCGUAAACAAAAGGCUCCCACCAGCACCGCCCUCAGAGGGAGAGCCAACGCAAACCAAGAACAUUACAAACACCACAUCACGUCGCCGCCUGGAAACACACCCUCAACGGGCCAACCGAACAACGGGAGGCCGCGCAGCGUGCCCUCGAGGGAAACGGCAACGACGACGGCAAGGAAAAGAAGGAGCUGGCGCUGGACACACCCCACACAGACACGAGGGACUAAUGGAGAACAGUGACAACAUGAGGAGGAGGAGGAGGAGGAGCUGACGGGGGUGGCGUUGCCUUAGCUCUGGGGGUCUGGGCGGGUGAGGAGCCGCUCCACCGCCGCGUUCACGU